ensembl:lncRNA
AGAGUCCUAGCGAUUUGCAAAACGAAGAUGUGAUUUAUAGUAUUCUCUGUAUACUUUGUGGUAACUUUAUUAAUGCAGGAAGUUUAUUUGCGGUCACUAAAUCUUCAGUCAUUUAAAUCAGAUUUAAGUUGCUUUAAAAUUUAUAGGGUUUGGGAGCAAAAUUUCAGCCUCACUGAAAUCAAUGGCAAAACCACCACUGCCACUGGGAUAUGAUUUGACCUGUGAUACUUUAACAAAUAUGUCUUCUAAAAAUCUUUCUGCUCUUAAUUGCAUUCCUUUUUUCUUUUUUCCUUAAGUCUUGUGAAGACAACAAUCUGAAGACAAUGCAUCUGUGACCCCUGAUACCAGCCUGUGAGUUGGGGCGAUGGAAGUUGUAGAGGGCCGCCAGCAUACUGGUCCCGUGAUAGCUCCAAAUGGAUAUGCAAGCAGGAUUUUCCAAGCAAACAUGGAGGAAGGGAGUACUGACACACUGGAGGUCUGUGGUGCUGAGCGCUGCACCUCCAGCGAUGCAAUCUCAAAUGAACGGGAGGAAGCACCCAGGUAUAAGAAGGCGACCAAGGGCAACCGGAUCUGGAAUUUUGUUAGACGAAGGAAAGGACUCUCUACGAAUAAAGGAAGACCCCAGUCCAUGAUCCUACUGGGAGUUACCUCUGAAGUCUCAGAAUUAAAAAAAACAUCCUUCUUGGACAGGGUAAGGCCAUUAAAAAAGGGAAGAACCUCCAGGAUGCCUAAGAAUGUGGAUUUGAGAGCAUCCAGAGUUCAGGUUGCUUGUGACCCUGAGGAGGACCAUCAAGCCAGCGGGCAAAGAGCUGUCUACAGGGUUAAGAAACUGGGUGACAGUCGGAGGCCCUCCCGCCACUCAUAUGCGGGGUACAUUGACGAUUUAGAUUCUUCUUUUGAAGACAUAGAACUGAAUAUCAGCAUUCCUGAAACUGAUGCCAAUGAAAGUAAAUGUCUCAGGGAUAUUAGUGUCAGAUUACACAGUGAAGAUAAUGAUAGUAACUGCCAUAGAAUACCAGCUAGAAAGAGCGAGUCUUUGAAUUUUGAAAACUUUAAGAGUCCUGCAAUUACAGAAGGGGACAAUCAAAAGAGGUGUACUGUGCUCCCACAGGAGAGCAGAAGAGGAAGAAGCUCUGAUGUCUGGAGCUAUCUGAAAGGAAUUUCAUUAACUAGCAAAGAUAAUUCAAAGCUUCCAGAUCAAAGGGCUGAAACCAAUUUCCAGAACUUAGAAAAUAUAACUGAUCAUUCUACUCCUUAUUUCGACUUUGAUAUGAGAUGUGAGGAGAAUCUCAGCCAGCGGAAAAAAUCAAACAGUGCAACCAAAGCCACUCACUUUGGGGGUGUUGUGAGGUUCUUCACCAGUGUGGCCGAGGCGGCUCGGAGGCUGCGAGGCUCCUCAAGGGCAUUUUCACCUGAUGAGAAAAGGCCUCAGCGGAGUUUCCGAAGCUGGAGGCAGGAUGUUACCUCCCACAAGGAGGACUUGGUUAUCGAGAACGAGAGUGCGAGGGCCUUCUGCACGGUGGGAGCGUGUCUGCAGUCCCCAGAUUCAGGCACAUGGGACAAUCUGAGCUUUGAGAGUUUGGUAGGGAAGGAGCCCAUGCAGCACUGCAAAACCACAGGAGUGUCACAAGACAUUGGUUCCUCUGCCCUGGGCAGCGAGAAUGAUAGAUUUAAUGAAACAUCACUUUCUCCCUUUGGGCCAGAACCAUCCAUCUCCCACCUGCCAGAGCUUGCAGAUGACUGUUUCACUGAGGUAAAUACUAAAGACCCCUCCGAGGAUCUGAUUGACAUUCCACAGACAACUCCCACUAAACAGAUUCAGGAUUUGGGCAGUAUUCCAGAGAAGACAGAGGUUGUGGGUGGGGACCUGCCAUGUUCUCAAGGUCUUCCUGUGAAUAAUCUGGAUACUGCAGACCCGGGCCAUUCUUCAGCUGCAGAUGGUGACUUUUCUGCAGUAACCGAGGCUCUGAUCCACCUUCCACAGACAUUGCUGACUAAACUUGACACUGAGGACAUGGCAUGUGUUCCAGUGAUUGCUAAAGACAUGGAUCCAUCUCCAGCAGUGGCUCGGGAGCUUUCAAAGACAGAACUGGAUUUGCAGGACUUGAGAAAUCCUGAGCUGCCUUGGCAAGACUUGUCUAGAGGUGAGCUGGGGAUUCGAAACUCUGGGAGUACUCUGGAGAAGACACAGGCCAUGGGCAGGGACCUGCCAUGUUCCCAAGGUCUUCCUGUGAAUAAUCUGGAUACUGUGGACUUGGGCCAUUCUUCAACUGCAGAUGGUGACUCUUCUGCAGUGACCGAGGCUUUAAUCCAACUUCCACAGCCAUCGCUGACUAAACUUGAUACUGAGGACAUGGCAUGUGCUCCAGUGGUUGCUAAAGUCAUGGAUCCAU